rfam:Methanoculleus sp. MAB1 isolate Methanoculleus sp MAB1 genome assembly, chromosome: chrI
GCCCAGGUAGUGUAGUGGCCUAUCAUGACGGCCUGUCACGCCGUCGACACGGAUUCGAAUUCCGUCCUGGGCG